rnacentral:misc_RNA from 1 species
GAUGAAGAACGUAGCGAAAUGCGAUACGUAAUGUGAAUUGCAGAAUUCAGUGAAUCAUCGAAUCUUUGAACGCAUAUUGCGCUCUCUGGUAUUCCGGGGAGCAUGCUUGUUUGAGUAUCAGUAAACACCUCAACUUCCAUAUCUUUUUUGAAAUGGGAGUUGGACUUGAGUGAUCCCAACGCUUUUCCUCACCGAAAAGUGGCGGGUUACUUGAAAUGCAGGUGCAGCUGGACUUUUCUCUGAGCUAUAAGCAUAUCUAUUUAGUCUGCCUAAAAAACAGAUUAUUACCUUUGCUGCAGCUAACAUAAAGGAGAUUAGUUCUUGUGCUGACUGAUGCAGGAUUCACAAAGACAGGCUUCGGCCGACUUUGUAAACUCGAUCUCAAAUCAAGUAAGACUACCCGCUGAACUUAAGCAUAUCAAUAAGCGGAGGA